rfam:Myotis brandtii contig324659, whole genome shotgun sequence.
AAAAAAGGUUGGGAACCAUUGGUAUAACACAAUUUGAACUUGCUAUAGCAACAAAGACUAACUUAUUCUGGUGCUCUCUCUUCUAUGAGACAAGCCAAUAUAUAGACUUAGGUAGU